rnacentral:lncRNA from 1 species
UCCAUUUGUGAAGACAUUUAGGUGGGCUGAUAAUUGUCAAGCGAAACAUGCAGUGAAGGAGGAGGUGCUCGGCCGUCUGGAUCGCCGAAGAAACAUAUAGUGCAGGACGCUGACUUAUGCGUGUGGAACAAUCCAAUCGUGGUCGAGGAGCCAUACGAUGAAGGGAACGUGCGAGGGUUGCCAAAGAAGUUUUUGCCCCGGCGCAGACAGCUUGCUGCGAGGGGAGUCGUUGAGGAGAGAUACCAUUCAUCGAAGAAUGGAGAGCUAGGUACACCUCAUCUAGAUAUUCAGGAGGUGCGCCUCAUGUACUUCAUCUCCAUAGCUCAGAAGGGAAACUGCAGCUUCUUUCCAGCUAGUGACUACUUCCUGUGUUUUUAAUUGCAAGUCUUUUAAGAAAUUAUGUCACGGACUACAUUCGAAUGUAUUUAGACAUACUUUAGAGUGUAGAUUCGUUUAUUUUGCUUUAUAUGUA